rnacentral:other from 1 species
UUGGAGCUGCCCGGUUCGUCAGGCAAAUCAUCCCCAGGGCCGUUAAGCAUCUCCCUCGGGAACUGGCUCUGUCCGGAUCUUGGUCCGGGUAUCUGGUGCCCACCUGCACAAGCAGGCCUUGGGAGGAUGUACACGCCAACGGCCAGGGCGGCUCCACU